GAUGAACGCUAGCGACAGGCUUAACACAUGCAAGUCGAGGGGCAGCGGUGGUGAAGGCUUGCCUUUACCAGCCGGCGACCGGCGCACGGGUGAGUAACACGUAUGCAACCUGGCCGUCACAGGUGGAUAACCGGAAGAAAUUCCGACUAAUACAGCAUAACACUCCUGAGGGACAUCCUUCGGGAGUCAAAGGAGGCGACUCCGGUGACGGAUGGGCAUGCGGCGCAUUAGGUAGUUGGUAGGGUAACGGCCUACCAAGCCGACGAUGCGUAGGGGUUCUGAGAGGAAGGUCCCCCACAUUGGAACUGAGACACGGUCCAA
rnacentral:rRNA from 1 species